AAAAAUCCUUCUGGGCUGAAGCCUGCGGCCUCGGCUGCACGGUUUUGCCCAACACACACCUUUGUGAACCAUGAACGUAUUUUGGUGAAGCCUCCGCGGGGUCUUCCUCGCGCGUGGGAUGUCUGCUGGCGCCCAUGCUUUAUUGCGUUGGGGACGGCUGCAUCCGUUCGCUUCACCGACCAACACCUGUUUUCACUUUUGUUGUGCAUAAUAAAGAGAAAUCAAUGAGAAA
rnacentral:misc_RNA from 1 species